rnacentral:rRNA from 1 species
UACGAAGGGGGCUAGCGUUGCUCGGAAUCACUGGGCGUAAAGCGCACGUAGGCGGACUCUUAAGUCGGUGGUGAAAUCCUGGAGCUCAACUCCAGAACUGCCUUCGAUACUGGGAGUCUUGAGUCCGGGAGAGGUGAGUGGAACUGCGAGUGUAGAGGUGAAAUUCGUAGAUAUUCGCAAGAACACCAGUGGCGAAGGCGGCGCACUGGCCCGGUACUGACGCUGAGGUGCGAAAGCGUGGGGAGCAAACAGG